GGUUGACCUCGGAUCAGGUAGGUAC
rnacentral:rRNA from 1 species